GAUGAACGCUAGCUACAGGCUUAACACAUGCAAGUCGAGUGGCAGCAUGGUCUUAGCUUGCUAAGGCCGAUGGCGACCGGCGCACGGGUGAGUAACACGUAUCCAACCUGCCGUCUACUCUUGGACAGCCUUCUGAAAGGAAGAUUAAUACAAGAUGGCAUCAUGAGUCCGCAUGUUCACAUGAUUAAAGGUAUUCCGGUAGACGAUGGGGAUGCGUUCCAUUAGAUAGUAGGCGGGGUAACGGCCCACCUAGUCUUCGAUGGAUAGGGGUUCUGAGAGGAAGGUCCCCCACAUUGGAACUGAGACACGGUCCAAACUCCUACGGGAGGCAGCAGUGAGGAAUAUUGGUCAAUGGGCGCAGGCCUGAACCAGCCAAGUAGCGUGAAGGAUGACUGCCCUAUGGGUUGUAAACUUCUUUUAUAAAGGAAUAAAGUCGGGUAUGUAUACCCGUUUGCAUGUACUUUAUGAAUAAGGAUCGGCUAACUCCGUG
rnacentral:rRNA from 1 species